UACGGAGGGUGCAAGCGUUAUCCGGAAUUACUGGGUUUAAAGGGUGCGUAGGCGGCUGUAUAAGUCAGAGGUGAAAGGUUGUCGCUUAACGAUAGAAUUGCCUUUGAUACUGUAUAGCUUGGAACUAGGUGAGGUUGGCGGAAUGUGACAUGUAGCGGUGAAAUGCAUAGAUAUGUCAUAGAACACGGAUUGCGAAGGCAGGUGGCUAACGUAAGUUUGACGCUGAGGCACGAAAGCGUGGGUAGCAAGCAGG
rnacentral:rRNA from 1 species